UACGAAGGGGGGCUAGCGUUGCUCGGAAUGACUGGGCGUAAAGGGCGCGUAGGCGGCGGUCACAGUCAGAUGUGAAAUUCCUGGGCUUAACCUGGGGGGCUGCAUUUGAUACGUGGUUGCUUGAGUGGGGGAAGAGGGUCGUGGAAUUCCCGGUGUAGCGGUGGAAUGCGUAGAGAUCGGGGAAGAAUACCCGUGGCGAAGGCGGCCAGCUGGGGCCAGGUCCGACACUGAGGCGCGAAAAGCGUGGGGGAGCAAACAGG
rnacentral:rRNA from 1 species